rnacentral:rRNA from 1 species
GGUUAAGCGACUAAGCGUACACGGUGGAUGCCCUGGCAGUCAGAGGCGAUGAAGGACGUGCUAAUCUGCGAAAAGCGCCGGCGAGGUGAUAUGAACCCUUGACCCGGCGAUGUCCGAAUGGGGAAACCCAGUGUGUUCCGACACACUAUCGUUAACUGAAUACAUAGGUUAACGAGGCGAACCGGGGGAACUGAAACAUCUAAGUACCCCGAGGAAAAGAAAUCAACCGAGAUUCCCCCAGUAGCGGCGAGCGAACGGGGAGCAGCCCGGAGUCUGAAUCAGCUUGUGUGUUAGUGGAACGGUCUGGAAAGUCCGACGGUACAGGGUGAUAGUCCCGUACACGAAAAUGCACAUGCUGUGAACUCGAAGAGUAGGGCGGGACACGUGGUAUCCUGUCUGAAUAUGGGGGGACCAUCCUCCAAGGCUAAAUACUCCUGACUGACCGAUAGUGAACCAGUACCGUGAGGGAAAGGCGAAAAGAACCCCGGCGAGGGGAGUGAAAAAGAACCUGAAACCGUGUACGUACAAGCAGUGGGAGCACCUUCGGGUGUGACUGCGUACCUUUUGUAUAAUGGGUCAGCGACUUAUAUUCUGUAGCAAGGUUAACCGUAUAGGGGAGCCGAAGGGAAACCGAGUCUUAACUGGGCGUUAAGUUGCAGGGUAUAGACCCGAAACCCGGUGAUCUAGCCAUGGGCAGGUUGAAGGUUGGGUAACACUAACUGGAGGACCGAACCGACUAAUGUUGAAAAAUUAGCGGAUGACCUGUGGCUGGGGGUGAAAGGCCAAUCAAACCGGGAGAUAGCUGGUUCUCCCCGAAAGCUAUUUAGGUAGCGCCUCGUGAACUCAUCUUCGGGGGUAGAGCACUGUUUCGGCUAGGGGGCCAUCCCGGCUUACCAACCCGAUGCAAACUACGAAUACCGAAGAAUGUUAUCACGGGAGACACACGGCGGGUGCUAACGUCCGUCGUGAAGAGGGAAACAACCCAGACCGCCAGCUAAGGUCCCAAAGUCAUGGUUAAGUGGGAAACGAUGUGGGAAGGCACAGACAGCCAGGAUGUUGGCUUAGAAGCAGCCAUCAUUUAAAGAAAGCGUAAUAGCUCACUGGUCGAGUCGGCCUGCGCGGAAGAUGUAACGGGGCUAAACCAUGCACCGAAGCUGCGGCAGCGACGCUUAUGCGUUGUUGGGUAGGGGAGCGUUCUGUAAGCCGUUGAAGGUGUGCUGUGAGGCAUGCUGGAGGUAUCAGAAGUGCGAAUGCUGACAUAAGUAACGAUAAAGCGGGUGAAAAGCCCGCUCGCCGGAAGACCAAGGGUUCCUGUCCAACGUUAAUCGGGGCAGGGUGAGUCGACCCCUAAGGCGAGGCCGAAAGGCGUAGUCGAUGGGAAACAGGUUAAUAUUCCUGUACUUGGUGUUACUGCGAAGGGGGGACGGAGAAGGCUAUGUCAGCCGGGCGACGGUUGUCCCGGUUUAAGCAUGUAGGCGGAGGUUCCAGGUAAAUCCGGUACCUUAUUAACGCUGAGGUGUGAUGACGAGGCACUACGGUGCUGAAGUGAUAAAUGCCCUGCUUCCAGGAAAAGCCUCUAAGCAUCAGGUAACACGAAAUCGUACCCCAAACCGACACAGGUGGUCAGGUAGAGAAUACCAAGGCGCUUGAGAGAACUCGGGUGAAGGAACUAGGCAAAAUGGUGCCGUAACUUCGGGAGAAGGCACGCUGAUAUGUAGGUGAAGCCCCUGCGGGCGGAGCUGAAAUCAGUCGAAGAUACCAGCUGGCUGCAACUGUUUAUUAAAAACACAGCACUGUGCAAACACGAAAGUGGACGUAUACGGUGUGACGCCUGCCCGGUGCCGGAAGGUUAAUUGAUGGGGUUAGCGGCAACGCGAAGCUCUUGAUCGAAGCCCCGGUAAACGGCGGCCGUAACUAUAACGGUCCUAAGGUAGCGAAAUUCCUUGUCGGGUAAGUUCCGACCUGCACGAAUGGCGUAAUGAUGGCCAGGCUGUCUCCACCCGAGACUCAGUGAAAUUGAACUCGCUGUGAAGAUGCAGUGUACCCGCGGCAAGACGGAAAGACCCCGUGAACCUUUACUAUAGCUUGACACUGAACACUGGUCCUUGAUGUGUAGGAUAGGUGGGAGGCUUUGAAGCGUGGACGCCAGUCUGCGUGGAGCCGUCCUUGAAAUACCACCCUUUAAUGGCUGGUGUUCUAACGUAGACCCGUGAUCCGGGUUGCGGACAGUGUCUGGUGGGUAGUUUGACUGGGGCGGUCUCCUCCCAAAGAGUAACGGAGGAGCACGAAGGUUGGCUAAUCCUGGUCGGACAUCAGGAGGUUAGUGCAAUGGCAUAAGCCAGCUUGACUGCGAGCGUGACGGCGCGAGCAGGUGCGAAAGCAGGUCAUAGUGAUCCGGUGGUUCUGAAUGGAAGGGCCAUCGCUCAACGGAUAAAAGGUACUCCGGGGAUAACAGGCUGAUACCGCCCAAGAGUUCAUAUCGACGGCGGUGUUUGGCACCUCGAUGUCGGCUCAUCACAUCCUGGGGCUGAAGUAGGUCCCAAGGGUAUGGCUGUUCGCCAUUUAAAGUGGUACGCGAGCUGGGUUUAGAACGUCGUGAGACAGUUCGGUCCCUAUCUGCCGUGGGCGCUGGAGAAUUGAGGGGGGCUGCUCCUAGUACGAGAGGACCGGAGUGGACGCAUCACUGGUGUUCGGGUUGUCAUGCCAAUGGCACUGCCCGGUAGCUAAAUGCGGAAGAGAUAAGUGCUGAAAGCAUCUAAGCACGAAACUUGCCCCGAGAUGAGUUCUCCCUGAGACCUUGAGUCUCCUGAAGGAACGUUGAAGACGACGACGUUGAUAGGUCGGGUGUGUAAGCGCAGCGAUGCGUUGAGCUAACCGAUACUAAUGAACCGUGAGGCUUAACCUU